GUACACACGAAAUCCAUUCUCCAUACCGCAGGCAAAGCAUCCUGUAGAGAGACACCGAGGUCAAACAGCAGAAAUCACAAGCUGAGCACAAGUGCUGCAGCAGAAUCCUUUUUGAAGAAAGACCACACAGGAGAUUCAUGGACGUUGUGAAGGAGGACAUCAAGAGAGCUGCUGUGACCUGUUCUUGGCAUCCUCUGGACACGUCACGAUGAAGGCGACAGCUUCCUAAAUAGAGCAGCUGAAAGCAGACCUAUGCCUGAUGCAGCUUUUAAUUUUUUAGGUCAUCUAAAAUUUAAAAACCUUUAAAUUAUGAUACAAAAACCUGAUUUCACUAAUCUAUCUUUGGUUGACUGUUGGUGGUCAAAGUUUAUCUCAAAAAGUUUUAUCUCAAACUGUGCCUAUAAAACUUCUGUGGUUUGUAAUGCAGUCACUUGUAAAAUUCCUAAAAUUCUAAUACGUUACUAGGUUUACAAGAAACCACCGAUCCAUCACAAUCCACCGUGUUAUUGCUAUACAACAAAGAUGAACAAGUCACCAGCAUCACGGGCUGACUGGCCAGACAGCUGCACUGUGCAGGUAUUUUUCCCACAUGGACAGGUUGUUUGCUGGAUUUGGGGCACAACAGCUUACAAUUUGCAUUUUAUACAUCAGAAAUCGAUGAACUAACUGAAAAGAUGCAGCAGACAGUGAAGUUAAUGUAACAUUGGAAAGACUCUGAAGUUGGGUGUUCCUGAAUGCAGCUGGGAUUCAUCUGCAUCUUUAGCCAGCUUUACCCCCACUACAUCACACAUUACUAGAUGAUAUGAUAUUGAAAUUACCAAAUAACUUGUGGUAAAUAACUGACACUUGGAAUCAAAUGUUCAGUUUAUUACAGAAAAACAUAACCAAAGGUCCCAUGAAACCCACUUUCAGUGGAAACAUUUUUAUAAUCAUGGAGGUGUAAAAUCAAAGCCAUGAAAAUGUAACUACUGCUAUUUUUCUAGCAAUCCCACAACUAGAUGGCCUCUUACCUUUACAAGCUAUAAAAACUUUUUUCCAGUUGCCAGUUUAUUUCAAAGUUAGUGAAAGGACAGAAUGUUGCCUACAUUGUAAAUGUAGAUUGCUGUAGAUGCUCUGAUGUUCACUGCCGUUUCACAGCAGUCAUCAAGGCUUAGUUUUCUAGCAUUAGGUCGUCUGAUGUACUUAACCAUAGGCUGUCAGCACAGCUCCAGGUUGGUGAUCCAAACAGGACUAUCAACAUGGACUCUAACCGAACAAAGAGACCCCUAUCAAUUUUAAUGAAGACUACAUUUAGAGUAUGUCAGGCUUGUCUGACAGCCCCUACUGACAAAGAACUGAAAACAUUUUCAUGCUCUCAGUAAAAAGCCACAAGACUGCUGACAAACAGUAAUUUUACCUCAAAGAACGCAAAUUCUUGAUCUAUGUUUCAGCCGCCAGAGGUUAGUUUGUGUGUCUUUCUGUGUUUGUUUUAAUAUGUCAAACAGCUGUAAACCAAAGGCUGUGUUGUGUGAUGUGAUGUUGUGUGAGGGUUGUGUGACAAGUAAUCCUCCAAAUAACCUAGUAACCUAACCCUGUGUGAUACCUAAACACUCACUGGCUUACAUUUAUUUUCUGUUCGCAUGUCACCACUACAAAAUGAGAAAAGAAAAAAAAGAAGAAGAAAAAAAAUCACAUUAGCAAGGCAAGUUGCUAAUCCUAAUAUCAGUUUGGUUUAAACACACACAGGCCACAGCUAUGUGGGAAAAACAGGGAUAGCAAAAUAUUAGAAACUGUGAGAAAAAAAAAAAA